rnacentral:rRNA from 1 species
UUAUUCGCUUCUGAGUUGGGCUUCGCCUGCCGGACAAACCGGGCC